rnacentral:rRNA from 1 species
CACGUAGGGUGCGAGCGUUGUCCGGAAUUAUUGGGCGUAAAGAGCUCGUAGGCGGUGUGUCGCGUCGGCCGUGAAAACCUGCAGCUUAACUGUGGGCGUGCGGUCGAUACGGGCAUCACUGGAGUUCGGCAGGGGAGACUGGAGUUCCUGGUGUAGCGGUGAAAUGCGCAGAUAUCAGGAGGAACACCGGUGGCGAAGGCGGGUCUCUGGGCCGAUACUGACGCUGAGGAGCGAAAGCGUGGGGAGCAAACAGG